AAAUUGAAGAGUUUGAUCAUGGCUCAGAUUGAACGCUGGCGGCAGGCCUAACACAUGCAAGUCGAACGGUAACAGGAAGCAGCUUGCUGCUUU
rnacentral:rRNA from 20 species